CGCCCCAUGAGCAUCGGCCUUCUAAGCCGACGGUCGGGGGUUCGAAUCCCUCUGGGCAGGCCA
rnacentral:tRNA from 3 species